rnacentral:lncRNA from 1 species
CCAAUUAAAAUUAACGGUGAAUUAAACUGCUAAUAAAAAUUAUAUUACAAAAAAUAUGAUAGUAUACAAAAAUUCAGAUGAAAAAAAGAGAACAAAAGUUGGGGUAGGAGAGAGAGACAAUACAAAGGUUGUUUUGUUUGCACAUUAAAUCAGACACACUAUCUCAGGUAUACGGUUUAUUCUAUGCUACACCCGGUGAACUUCACCGGGUAUUUAAGAUUUUGACAUGUGGCAUUUAAUAAUAUAAAUAGUUAAUUAUAUAAAAUUUAAUUGUUAGCGAAAAAAUUAAAUCAAUAAAAUCGCUUUAAUAUAGUUAAUAAGAUUUUCUCUCUCCAAUUAUUUCUUUGUUAUCAAUUACCUCUCCAUUUUUCGAUUCAGGAAAAAAAAAUUUACUCCUCCAUUAACUGUGUUCUACCAUUACUGCACUUCUUCACUAUUUUAAUUUUUAUUAAGUUCUUUCACGAUAAAUUGCACUGGAAAAUAAGAUAUUGGCUCUUAUUUGUGAAAUCUGACUUUGAUAAAUUUCUACUUCCGAGUCAAAUAUUGGUAUGCUUGUAGAUCACUCAAAAAUAAAAAAUGAAAAAUAAAAACAGACAUUAAUUUAUCCAAAAAUGGUUUUCCACUUAUGCUUAUGUUAAUUUAAUUGUAAAGUUUGCAUUAUCAGUAUCAUUUUAAUUUCUUCAUUUGGGUGGGAAGCCACUGUUACAUAAUCUAAACAAAUAAUGGAGAAAUGCAUUAUAAUGGUGGAAGAUGGUUAACGAAUGUGUAAUUGAAGAAUAAGGAAAGAAUUGUAGAGAGAAAAUCAUAAUUGCCUAUAAUAAAGUGAUUCUAUUAAUUUAUUUAUCUUCCUAUAAUUAAAGUUACAUAAUUAACUACUUAAUUAUUAAAUACCACAUGUCAAAAUCUCAAGACAUUCGGUGAAGUUCACCGGGUGUAGCAUAGAAUAGACCCAGGUAUACAUACAACAUACAUACACUGAAAGGCUACAAAGCUAACUUCAUCUUCUUCUCUUUUUUCUUUUCCUGGUUUUUUUUUUUCAUAAUAAUGUACUAGUAGUAGUUUUUCUUGUCAAGGUUCUUGGGAGUUGACACGGCUAUGGAGUUCUAACAUCUCUUGGUGAUUCGGAUCAACCGACAAUGCGGCCCUACAAUCACG